CAUGUCACAUUUUUUCAAAUUAUUUCAACUGUUUUUAGCUUCAUUUGAAAUCCUUGAAGAUACACCAUUCAAAUUUGGAACACUCUUCUCUUUUUGCAAAACUCUUUUUUCCAUUAAUUAUAGUAAAAUUGAUUGAUUAUAGAUUGACUAUAGUAAAACAUGCUUUAAGCCAAAUUGUGUUUCCAAAACCUUGGGUUUGACACAUUUCACAACCAAUUUUCAACCCAAUGAAAUUCAUAUACAACAAUGUGUCUCUGAAGAUCACAGUGCAAAACUAAACAAAGAAAAGGAAUUGUUUCAAACACGUGCCCCUUUCACAUUUUUUCUUGAUGUAACAAACAUUUUCUUAUGAUUUAUCCCAAGCCAAGUCCACCUGUUGAUUUACUAGAAGAGAAAGAUGACGGGAAACUCAUGACCAUCCAGGAAGAUGUGUUGGUAGCAAUGCUGAGGGCUAUAGUACUGGAUCUAAUGGAAGAUCAGUGAACUGCCGGGCUCUUGAACAGAUGAGAUGGGACAACCAGCCAGCAACUGGUCAGGAAGCUGAUGUCUGUGACAGUGUUUGAGUGAAGCGUCUGGUUUUGGUAGAUGGCAUGCCAUUCUGGAGCAUUUAGCAGCUGAAGAAACCUCUGGCAGCUGGAGUGAUACAACCAUACCAUGAUGUCCUUAACAGUCUUGAAUACUAGCCACUUUUUAGUUUGUUAUUGAGUGGAAAUCAUGUAACACGCAUUGUGUUAACUUUGUAUGUAGUUAACUUGUCCCACUGGGAUACAAUUCAUUUUGCUCUGACGGCAACCGUGGUAAUAUGUUGGCAAAGAAGCUUAUUUCAAUCUUUAUCAAGCUGGAUUUAGUAUUCAGAUUUCCAUCUUGCCAGUUUCUUACAUGAUUAACUACAGUACUUCUCAUGGCUGUGAUUCAAUUCCUUUGGCUUUUAUUUUCACAAUAAAUUAAGCACUUAUUUUAAACUUGUUUUUGCUUGAAGACAUGCCCUCAUCCUUACAUUGGCCUUUUCAUCAGUGAAUUGUUUGAAGAUGUCAUUUUUAUAUCCACUGAUAUUUAUUAGUUGCAUUAUCUUUCCAGUUGAUGGUGAAAUUGGUAACUGUGUGAACUUCCGAACUAAAUGCACAUGUUGGUCUGCAGAAAUGUUUGGUAUUCUUAAAAGUUUGGCUUUUGAUAAAAUGCUGCCUGCAAUGACUUCCAAUUUGCUAACCCUCUUCCUCAUUGCUAUCUAGAUUUCAACUUCAGUGUUCAUAUUUUAAAAACUUUGUUUCUGUGAAAUCUUGAGUUUAGCGUACUACAGCAAAUGGGAUCAGAAACAAAACGUAAUUUUUCAACAACUGAAUGGACUUUGUUUACAAUAUUCAAAUUGUGUAUAUAUGGUCAAUUCUGAAAUAAAUGUUUCAUAAGGAA